GGUGGCUCAAUGGUAGAGCGCUUGCCUUGCAUGCACGAGGCCCUGGGUUCGAUUCCUCGGCACCA
rnacentral:tRNA from 1 species